rnacentral:rRNA from 1 species
AUACGGAGGAUGCAAGCGUUAUCCGGAUUUAUUGGGUUUAAAGGGUGCGUAGGCUGACGUGUAAGUCAGAGGUGAAAUCUCCGGGCUCAACCUGGGAACUGCCUUUGAUACUGCAUGUCUGGAGUUCGGAUGCCGUGGGAGGAAUGGGCAGUGUAGCGGUGAAAUGCAUAGAUAUUGCCCAGAACACCGAUUGCGAAGGCAUCUCACGAAUCCGACACUGACGCUGAGGCACGAAAGCGUGGGGAUCAAACAGGAUUAGAUACCCUGGUAGUCCACGCAGUAAACGAUGAUAACUAACCGUCGGCGAUAGACAGUCGGUGGCCAAGCGAAAGCGAUAAGUUAUCCACCUGGGGAGUACGUUCGCAAGAAUGAAACUCAAAUGAAUUGACGGGG